GGCAGCGCCAGCCCCUCUUCCCAGGGAACUGCGCUCCCCGCGCAACUUCUCCCGUCCUUUCCCUGGGCGCCCGAGGCAACCCUGGUUGUUCGCCGCGUCCAGGAAGUUGCUAAUGGAGUCCUUGCAGAUAAAGACAGUCAAGUGAGCCUUCCCACGCUGCAGGAGCUGAGCUUGUGAUUUGCUUCUUGUGGGGGAGACUCCAGGGAGAGCUUUGCUAUUCCUUAGCAGGAAAGGAGGAUGUAUAAGGAUUUCUGACCCUGUUCAGAAAAAGGAUGUCUUAGUGAUGAGCUUCUGUUGAUGGGAACGUAACUUCACAGAUUGCCAGAUACAGCCCAGUUCCAUCAGGGAGUAUCAGUUUUGUGAACACAUGCAUGAGUUGGAAGCAAAGCAGAGAAGGAAGAUGAACAUUAAUGCAGCCUUUCAUCCUAAGCAGAAGAACCUGGGGUGUGGCCAACUGGAGGUGCCCAACUAGAGAAUAACUUUUGAUGAAAGCAACUAGUUUUCAUAUUUGUGUGUCAAUAAACCUUUGGAGAAAAAAAAAGCACAGAAAAAUGA